rnacentral:rRNA from 1 species
GAUGAACGCUGGCGGCGUGCCUAAUACAUGCAAGUCGAGCGAAUGGAUUAAGAGCUUGCUCUUAUGAAGUUAGCGGCGGACGGGUGAGUAACACGUGGGUAACCUGCCCAUAAGACUGGGAUAACUCCGGGAAACCGGGGCUAAUACCGGAUAACAUUUUGAACCGCAUGGUUCGAAAUUGAAAGGCGGCUUCGGCUGUCACUUAUGGAUGGACCCGCGUCGCAUUAGCUAGUUGGUGAGGUAACGGCUCACCAAGGCAACGAUGCGUAGCCGACCUGAAAGGAUGAUCGGCCACACUGGGACUGGGACACGGCCCAGACUCCUACGGGAGGCAGCAGUAGGGAAUCUUCCGAAAUGGACGAAAGUCUGACGGAGCAACGCCGCGUGAGUGAUGAAGGCUUUCGGGUCGUAAAACUCUGUUGUUAGGGAAGAACAAGUGCUAGUUGAAUAAGCUGGCACCUUGACGGUACCUAACCAGAAAGCCACGGCUAACUACGUGCCAGCCGCCGCGGUAA